AAGUUUAUAUUUUUAUUAUUUAUUAAUUCAAUAUUCAUUAAUGUAAAGUUAGUAGGUAUAGUGAAAGAAGUAUCAGAUAAUGGUUCUGUAUUGAUGGAUAGUGAUUCUGUAUUAAGUGGUUAUGUGUUGAGUAAAUUUAGAUCUUUUCUGUUGUUAUCAUCUUCUUCGUCUUCAUGUGGACAUGGCCUAUAAUAAGAAAAACUUACAGUAAAACCUAGGGGACACAAAAAAAGUAUAAUCCCUCCUAUGAGUAAAUCUAGAAAGACUCAUAGGCAAAAGAUAAGGAAAAAAAAUUACUAGCAAACAGGACCACUGGAAAACUGCAAGACAAAAGAAUCUUUGUACAAGAUAUCGUUUUCAAGAGCAAAGGCAUCUACUUAAAAAAAAAAAAAGAAUCAUCAUAUGUCUAUUAUUAAAAAGAAAUCUGCUUUAUUUCCUACGUAAAUCCCAAGCUAAAAAACCUUAUUUAAAUAAAAAUAGACAUGUUCACAAAUUUAGGGGGAUAGGAUAUACAAAAAUAAAUUGC
rnacentral:lncRNA from 1 species